UCUUCAUGGUAGUAAAUGAAAGUUAAAUAUUUCUAGCCUCUCCUAGCAUUAUCAUUGGUCCUUUUGUUUUCAUCAUUCUUUGUAGAUCUUUACAUAGCUGUGAAGCAUAAAACAGUAAGUUGAGGAGAAUAGGUUAGGUUAAAAAUGUCAGUUUUAGAUUGUAUUUGGUUAAGUUGCACUUGUUUUACUAAAGUAGGUUGUGAUGUCAGAUAUUAAUGGAAAAGUAGGCAAUGCAUGUUAGUAACUCAUGCAUCUUUUAUGGAAUUUAAUAUCUGCUACUAAUGGAUAUUACAUAUAUCCAUGUUUUACUGCAGUUGUGAGUAAUUAAUAGAAAUUAAAUUUCAACCAACAGAUCAGCAUAUCAGCCUUACAUGAAAUUCUCAUAGAACAGUGGCAUCACUUAUGAGAAAUUGAGGAAACCCAAGUGCUCCACAUGUGAUUGCUCAUGACUGUUGUGACCCUCUGUGCUGACUGAGGAGGAAUUUGGUCAGUGCUACAGGCUGAGCAAGAAUGCUGUACUUGAUCUGCUUGAUUAGUUACAUCCAAUUGCUCCUAGGAAUACAAGUAGCAAAGUUCAGUGGUACCAUCACACACACACACAUGGCGGACAGAGAAGUCACUGCAAACGGGCACUCCUAAAAAUCUAGCCAUCUACGUUGCUGAGAGCUGCCCUAGUGGAAAUACAGAGUUGAGAGUC